GACGAACCGUACGAACGUUAUUCGGAAUUACUGGGCUUAAAGGGUGCGUAGGCUGUGCGGAAAGUUGGGCGUGAAAUACCUCAGCUUAACUGAGGAACUGCGUUCAAAACUACCCGUGCUUGAGGGAGACAGAGGUAAGCGGAACUGAGGGUGGAGCGGUGAAAUGCGUUGAUAUCCUCAGGAACACCGGUGGCGAAAGCGGCUUACUGGGUCUCUUCUGACGCUGAUGCACGAAAGCUAGGGUAGCAAACGGG
rnacentral:rRNA from 1 species